rnacentral:rRNA from 2 species
UACGUAGGGUGCAAGCGUUGUCCGGAUUUAUUGGGCGUAAAGAGCUCGUAGGCGGUUUGUCGCGUCGACUGUGAAAGCCCGGGGCUCAACUCCGGGUCUGCAGUCGAUACGGGCAGACUAGAGUUCGGUAGGGGAGACUGGAAUUCCUGGUGUAGCGGUGAAAUGCGCAGAUAUCAGGAGGAACACCGGUGGCGAAGGCGGGUCUCUGGGCCGAUACUGACGCUGAGGAGCGAAAGCGUGGGGAGCAAACAGG